rnacentral:lncRNA from 11 species
CUAAUGUGAUCUCAUCCACUUCAGUACCAGUUGAAUGCAACCCAUUUUGGACUUCAAUACAAUUGUAAAUAUUUUUGCUUAGGAGGAACAUCUGAGGAUCUAUGACCAGGAAGCUGAAAGGAUCAUUAUCUGUCUCCGGUAGACCUCAAAGAUUUGCUGCAAUAUGUUCUUCAAAGGCCAAGAAUCCCUUGGCUCCAAGAUGUGGUGAACAAUCUCACCUGUGGUCAGAAAUCACUGGGACUCCGAUGAUCCUUGAAAAUGACAGACUUCGGGACCGGUCCCUCCAGAUAUCCUCUGAAGACCUACCCAUUUAUGACAACCAUCAAAUCCAGCUUGUUUCCUUUCUGAAAUUGGUCUCUCUUUCCCCUUGAGCUUGCUGAUUUAAAAAAGUCUAUUUUCGUGCGAGGUGAAGUGGGCACCAUUGAAAUGAAGGAUGUUUGGCCCAAGAAUACAACAACAUUGCCAUGCGGAGGAUCUCAAAAAAGCUAAGAGAGGAUGUACUUUGUUGAAUGAAACCACAGAUACUAGAUUUGCAGGUACAGGGGCUGUACUGUACAGGAUCUACCAGUUUCAAGUUAUACUUUGAAUGUGAAUCCAAUGUCCAAACUCUUCUCUAAUUUGUUAACAUUGUAUUCCAUCCUUUCUCCCAGGAGCUUAGAGGGUUUUUUUUUCUUUUUAUAGCUACUAGAGCAAAAGUUGCUGAGUGACCAAGAAUGCUCUGUGAACUUGCGAGCUGUGUGGGGAUUUGAAGCAUGAAGUCCAAUAACCAACCCCAGUGUUAAAACUACUGCCAACAUCAUACUCAUACUAUAACUGUAUUUUCCAACUCAAAUCCCAAGAAAUCAGUAUAUUGGGCCUAUUAAAGCUUCUGUAGAUUUGGCUGA